GGUGGCUCAGUGGUAGAGCACUUGCCUUACAUGCUCGAGGUCCUGGGUUCAAUUCCUCAGCACCA
rfam:Dipodomys ordii ctg_broad_rename0006266, whole genome shotgun sequence.